UGCAGUCGACUCGAGUCUUCGGACUUGGGUGGCGCACGGGUGAGUAACGCGUAAAGAACUUGCCUCUUAGACCGGGACAACAUCUGGAAACGGAUGCUAAUACCGGAUAUUAUGGUUUUUUCGCAUGGAGGAAUCAUGAAAGCUAGAUGCGCUAAGAGAGAGCUUUGCGUCCCAUUAGCUCGUUGGUGAGGUAACGGCCCACCAAGGCAAUGAUGGGUAGCCGGCCUGAGAGGGUGAACGGCCACAAGGGGACUGAGACACGGCCCUUACUCCUACGGGAGGCAGCAGUGGGGAAUAUUGGACAAUGGACCACAAGUCUGAUCCAGCAAUUCUGUGUGCACGAUGACGUUUUUCGGAAUGUAAAGUGCUUUCAGUCGGGAAGAAGUCAGUGACGGUACCGACAGAAGAAGCGACGGCUAAAUACGUGCCAGCAGCCGCGGUAAUACGUAUGUCGCAAGCGUUAUCCGGAUUUAUUGGGCGUAAAGCGCGUCUAGGCGGCAAGGAAAGUCUGAUGUGAAAAUGCGGAGCUCAACUCCGUAUGGCGUUGGAAACUGCCUUACUAGAGUACUGGAGAGGUAGGCGGAACUACAAGUGUAGAGGUGAAAUUCGUAG
rnacentral:rRNA from 1 species